GAUGAAGAACGUAGCGAAAUGCGAUAAGUAAUGUGAAUUGCAGAAUUCAGUGAAUCAUCGAAUCUUUGAACGCACAUUGCGCCCGCGAGUAUUCUCGCGGGCAUGCCUGUCCGAGCGUCAUUUCAACCCUCAGGGCCCGCCUGCUUGCAGGCGCGGCGCUGGUGUUGGGGAUCGGCUACCCUGCCGUUCCCCAAAUACAGUGGCGGUCUCGCUGCAGCCUCCCCUGCGUAGUAGCAACACUCGCAUGCGGAGCGCGGCGCGGCCACGCCGUAAAACCCCCGACUUUCUGAACGUUGACCUCGGAUCAGGUAGGAAUACCCGCUGAACUUAAGCAUAUCAAUAAGCGGAGGA
rnacentral:misc_RNA from 1 species